rnacentral:rRNA from 1 species
UAGGGAAUUUUCCGCAAUGGGCGAAAGCCUGACGGAGCAACGCCGCGUGAGGGAUGAAGGUUUUCGGAUCGUAAACCUCUGUCUUCAGGGACGAUAAUGACGGUACCUGAGGAGGAAGCCACGGCUAACUACGUGCCAGCAGCCGCGGUAAUACGUAGGUGGCAAGCGUUGUCCGGAAUUACUGGGCGUAAAGGGCGUGUAGGCGGCCUUUUAAGUCAGGCGUGAAAUCUCUGGGCUUAACCCAGAAAUUGCGUUUGAAACUGGAGGGCUUGAGGAUCGGAGAGGGCAGUGGAAUUCCCAGUGUAGCGGUGAAAUGCGUAGAUAUUGGGAGGAACACCAGUGGCGAAGGCGACUGCCUGGACGACACCUGACGCUGAGGCGCGAAAGCUAGGGGAGCAAACGGG